UACGUAGGGUGCAGGCGUUAAUCGGAAUUACUGGGCGUAAAGCGUGCGCAGGCGGUUCGUUAUGUCCGUUGUGAAAGCCCCGGGCUCAACCUGGGAAUGGCAAUGGAAACUGGCGGGCUAGAGUGUGGCAGAGGGGGGUGGAAUUCCGCGUGUAGCAGUGAAAUGCGUAGAGAUGCGGAGGAACACCGAUGGCGAAGGCAGCCCCCUGGGCUAGCACUGACGCUCAGGCACGAAAGCGUGGGGAGCAAACAGG
rnacentral:rRNA from 1 species